GACAGAGGGUGCAAACGUUGUUCGGAAUUACUGGGCGUAAAGCGCGUGUAGGCGGCUCUGCAAGUCGGGUGUGAAAUCCCAUGGCUCAACCAUGGAAGUGCAUUCGAAACUGCAGGGCUAGAGUCCUGGAGAGGAAGGUGGAAUGCUUGGUGUAGAGGUGAAAUUCGUAGAUAUCAAGCGGAACACCGGUGGCGAAGGCGGCCUUCUGGACAGUGACUGACGCUGAGACGCGAAAGCGUGGGGAGCAAACAGG
rnacentral:rRNA from 1 species